GGGCGUGUAGCUCAGUGGUUAGAGCACGUCACUGAUAAUGACGGGGUCGAAGGUUCGAUUCCUUCCACGCCCACCA
rnacentral:tRNA from 1 species